rnacentral:rRNA from 1 species
UACGUAGGGUCCGAGCGUUGUCCGGAAUUAUUGGGCGUAAAGGGCUCGUAGGCGGUUCGUCACGUCGGGAGUGAAAACUCGGAGCUUAACUCCGAGCCUGCUUCCGAUACGGGCAGACUAGAGGUAGGCAGGGGAGAGCGGAACUCCUGGUGUAGCGGUGGAAUGCGCAGAUAUCAGGAAGAACACCGGUGGCGAAGGCGGCUCUCUGGGCCGAUACUGACACUGAGGCGCGACAGCGUGGGGAGCAAACAGG